rnacentral:lncRNA from 1 species
CCUUCUGGAUUCUUCUAUAAUCUUAAUUUUAAUAGCUUCUGGAACAGACUAGAUAACUAUAACUAAUUAAUUAAUUAAUUUUUCUUGUGUAUAGUUUACUACUGUAUUUAUAAUAUUUUCAUAGUUUGAUUCGUUAAGAUGAUUCUGAAUAAUAAAGGUGUGGUUCGGGCCCAGAGUUCAGAAGAGUCAUUGAAGAUUCUUUGUGUAUCCAAUGGACUUGCCCACUGUAGUCCUCGGUUUAUUAGACGAGGAUCCUCACAGUUUACUCCUUUUUCAUCUCUACACGCGCUGCAAGACACAUGCAAGUGUGGAAGAGCUAGAGACCAGAUAUCACCAUCAUUAAGAUAUUUGGACCCUACGUCCCAAGCCCUUGGGCCCAAGCCUAAGGCUGUGCAGAACACAGACAGGCCCUGUCCAGCUGUCCAUAAGGCUAUACAGCAAGUUGUCAGUAUUAUCCAGUGAUGUAUUGAUGUAUCAGCGGCACUGUUUCAAAGGCCACUGAGAGGUCUAUCAGUGGGAACCCCGCUAUACUCUGCGUGAGUUUUUCAUCUUGAUUGCAGAGCUUUCAUUCUAACAUCAGGAACUAGUCUAUGAAAAGUCAUUCUCAGUCGCAGUUAAAGCCAUGAUAAAAACGCCACAUGACGGGAAGAAGAGAGACGGAGAGACAGAGAAGGAGAUCUCCUUUUCCAGCAUCAGUAACUCUCAAGGGUCCUACUCUUGGCGAGUAACCAAUGCCAGAUUUGGACCUUCUUUUCUUGCAGUGUUGCAAGUCUCCUUGGCUAGUUGACGUGUUUACAAAUGGAGACUCACUGGAAGAUUAUGUUGUAUCUUCAUCAUCUCGCUCAUAUACCUGUCUGUUCCAGUCUCAUACCAAUUGCUCAGAAUUUAUGUCGAAUACCGCAUCGUAGAUUCACAAGUCUGUUAAUUAAUCAACGACAGUGAUUCAUGUUUCCUACGCUUUUCUUAGAGCAAGAUUGUGGUAGUCAGAGUGGCGAGAUGCUGUAUGGAUUGUCUAACUACGAAUUAUAGUGCACUGCAUCAAGUCGUGUCAUCAACAUCCAACCACUUCACAUUCACUCUACAAGAGAAGGACUACAAGUCAGCUGCGUGUAGCGAUACCGAACUGUCUUGCAGAGACUGAUAUCUUCAGCAACUCAUCAACUUUAUCGUCAUUAACUCAUCAACUUCAUCGUCAGCAACUCAUCAACUUCAUCGUCAGCAACUCAUCAACUUCAUCGUCAGCAACUCAUCAACUUCAUCGUCUGCAACUCAUCAACUUCAUCGUCUGCAACUCAUCAACUUCAUCGUCUGCAACUCAUCUCUCACUAGCUUAUGUAAGUCGAAGAGAUUGAAGAUUUUUCGAUGUGUUUUUUAAAAUAAUCUUUCUGAACAUGGGUCGUUGAAUUAUGGUACUCAAGAAAAUUUCAUAUUCUACUCAAACUAAAGAUGACUCAAUGGUACUGGAAGAUAUAAGUUUUUUAAUAUCAGUGCUUCACUAUCUUCAAAUAUCACUAACUUAGUAUGAAAUUAUACUAUUUCAACAUGCACAUUGCUUCUCUUCUUUGAGCUGUCCACUUUGUUAUUUCAUAUUAUGUAUAUAAUACAUAAUAUAUAAAUUAAUAGUAUAAUACAUAAUAUAAGUCCCAGGUAGGCUGAGCCAGUUAUGUAUUGUAACAUUUAUUCCAGGCGGGAGCGCUCAGUCUGAGUUUCUCUGCCUUGCUGUUAACAUGUCUCAAUAAAUAAAACAUAUUUUUUAAAAUACUAUUUCAAGUUCAAUCAACCCAUUUUGUAUGAUCUUAUUUUCCAUGAACAAAAAAUACAUUGUCAUAUUUGGAAAAAUUACAUUCCACUAAGAACAAUCUGAGCGCGGAUAUAUUAAUGAGCAAUAUACAUGAACUGAUUCAUUAUAUUCCUCAUAGAUGCUUCUGAUUUUCUACAAGGAAAAAUCUGUCUAGUUAUUUGAGCUACUUAUGAAUUAGAUGUAAUUUUGAGGAAGAAUAGAGAAAAUUCCAGCCUUUUUAGGAACAGAUAAUGAGAAUCUGUGAUUUUGAAAAGUUGUGAAUAUUGUAAAAAUGUGUAACUUCAUCAUAUCUUAUGUUUGAUAUAAUUGAAUUGAAAUAUUUCAUACGACUUCUGCGAAACGUGAUCACACGUUAUGAAACACUACCAGUACAUAUAUGUGUUUCAGAAUCAAUGUACCAUUGAAUCAUCUUUAGUUUGCAUAAUUCUAAGAUAUGUAGUAAUUUAGUGCUUCAUUAUUCAAGAACUAUUUCUUUCAAGUUAAUUUCUCCAUACGAUUCAAACACACAAUGCACCCACAGUAAACUUGACCUGAAUUACACAAAAUACAUUACAGCUCCAUUUUCUAUUGAUCUGAUAGAAUGUUAUGACAUUGAUAACAAGGAUUACUGAAAUUAUAUUAUAUACUCAUGUAUUCCAAGAGGUAGUAGGUCCGUUCAAUCAAUGAAUUUCAAUGAAUGAUCAGAUAUUUAGGUCAAGUUAGUUUAGUAUUCUUCUAUUUAUUUAUUUACAUUACAAUAUGAGGGCACCAGGAAUAUAUACUUCCCAUAAUAGCCCUCUUGACACAACCAAAAUUACAAUUCUAAUAUAUUAAUAGUAUAAUAUAAUAUAGGAUAAGCCUAAUCUAAUAUAGAAAAUUCACAAAAUUGAAGAAAGAUAGAAACCACAAUAAAUAUUUAAAACUAAAAUUGAAGAUGGAAAAGAGGAAUAAGAUGAUGAUGAUGAUGAUAAUGAUAAUAAGUAUAAAUUAGUAAGAAAAAAUGAACAAGAUCAUGAUUUCAAUAUUUUAAACCAACAAUUGAAGAUGAGAACGAGGGGUACUCGUACCCAUAUGAUGAUGAUGAUUAUCAUGAUGACGACGACGACUAUGUUGAUGAGUGUAAAUAAAAAAUACAAAGAACAAGAUCAUGCCAAUAUUCCAAUGGACAGAAAGCAAGACAACAAAAACUGAAAUAGAUCACUACAAUUUUCCCAGAACCAGUAGGCAUACUACCAACAAGCAAUUGACUCCAUCAAUCACAUUACUUCCAAGUCUGAUUCACCUAAGUGUAACUCUCUACUCAGUUCAUUCAUAAGUCUCUGCACUCUAGUUAGAGGCGAGAAAUAAUUAUGCACAGUCCUGCUUCUAGGCAAAGAAAACAAGUCAGAAUUCCUAGCAUUGAAGGAGGGCACAUGGAAGUUAAACAUUGACAAGUAUUUAUGUUACCUAUAAUGGUAGUUUUGGUUUUUAAAAAACCAAAAAGUAGGUUUUUCAAAAAGUAAUGAUCGGAAAAAAAUGUUUUCCUGAGAAAACUUUUUCAUUUUGAUAGCUUGAUGAUAUACAAAUCGAAAAACUUUGAAAAAUAUCACGAGUAAAAAGUUUAUUUUUAGCCUUUGCACAGCUUAAUCCAUGCUGUUCUGUCCAGUGUGUGGCAGCAGCCUUGUUCGCUAUCAAAGUCCUCGUUCAUGAGGCCGACUGCUGCAUCUCAGUUGUCAGUUUUGAAAAAUCUGUAAGUCGUCUGCGCAAAGAUGAUAUCUAGAGUGUCUAUGUCGGUCGGUUACGUUAUUUACAUAGAGACUAAAUAGUAGUGGUCUCUAUAAAACAGAACCCUAGGGGGCGCCCUUGUUGACCACACUCCGUUGAGAUAUGAUAUCCAUUCAAACACACUGCUGCCUGUCAAGAAGGUACGAUUUCACACUUGCCACACUACUCUUUGAAAAACCAAAACUUCUCAGCUUUUAUCAAGAGUAGCAGAUGAUAAAUACAGUCUCACUCAAGUCGAUCAAAACCAUCAGUGUAGAUUGUGUCUUAUCCAUGGACAGAUAGACAUGAACAGAUAGAUGUACACGAACAGAGCAAGGCUGAAGUGGUGCAGUGUCCACCUCGACAUCCAGACUGAUGUUAGCUGAGAAUUCCUUUCAGAGAGGCAACAACAUGGGAUGAAGAGGUUUGUGGUUCUAUAUAAGUUGAGUUUGCAAUAAUCUAGAUAAAGUAACGCGCUCGUAACUAUGACCGCGUGCAUAGGGUAUAACACAUUACUGGAUAGAAUCAUGACUGUUGUGUACAAUAAAAAAAUUUAAAAUAAUACAUUUUAUUUCCUUUAACAUUCUUCGAAUUUCUCCCUUUUAUUCGUACAUUCUCUGUUAAACUUGGGUUAUUAUUUAUUUUAUCUCCUAUCAUUGAUUGUGACACUUUGCCAUAACCUAUUGGAUAUGCAUAAUUUAUAUUGAUAAUAAUUAUUAGAUUCAUGAUAAUGCUGUUUUGAUAAUAUUGAAAGAAGUUAGUGUUUUUUUAUUGUUGGUGAUGCUGAUGUUGAAUGUACAGCUGUUACAGUUAUUUAUUACAAUUGCAGCUGCAGUAGACGUCACUUCUGCAAAAUGUUGUGAUUCCGUAUGCAUGACCGUAUGAGUUGGUGUUGAUUGUAUUGCUUUUGGAGUCCUACAUGUUUGUUCUGUCCUAGAAUCAUGUUUCUAGUGCUAAGUUUUGAAGUGAUAGACUCUUGAAUAUGUACCCUUCAGCCACUGUAGCACUCUUCAAAAUUGUUCUGUCCUAGAAUCAUGUUUCUAGUGCUAAGUUUUGAAGUGAUAGACUCUUCAAUGUACCCUUCAGCUACUGUAGCACUCUUCAAUCCUCCGUGCCUUUUAAACUGAAGCAUGUUACCUCCUGCUUCAACUAGGAGUGUUGCCGAAACUCUUCGGAAACAAUGUCCAGUAUAAAGGUGCGCCAAUUUUAGAAAAGUGGCUACUUCUGAUGGAAUUUCACCUAUUGGAUUGAUUCACACAGGCUGCCUCGUACAGAAACCUUUGAUGAAUUUUGAGAAUAAUCUACCUGUGCUCAUAAUAUCCAAAGGCAGUAAUUAAAAAUAUUCUCUGUAAAUCUGCAGAUAAUCAGCAGCUAUUCUCAUCAUCGUUUUAAAUAGUGAAUGUGCGACUCCUGUAAUUUUUCGAUUGGUGUAUUUUUACAAUUUAAACAUUCCACUUCCAAGUGAUAAAGUAACAUCAAUUUAAAAUGAUUUUAUUGUUUAAUUUUUAAAUAAUUUUGAAGCAUUCCAAAGUAUAUUGAGAUCACUUCAAAUUACUUUUAAAAGAUUUUACAAUUAUUUCCAAUGCUACAAAACUGUGAUUCAUGAACUAUUUGAAUAUAAUUUCAAAUCACUUUCAAAUGUUUGCCAAAAAUUGUCACAUAGAACCUUCUGGAACUAAGCCGACGAUAUGUGUUAUGUUAGUCCAGCUCAGUCCAGGAAACCUACCUCAAGACCGAAACUGUCUAUCACCUGGCAGAUGCAUCGGCUUGAAGUGCAUAGCCGGUAUUUUCGGUUUGGUAGACGAGUAACUCCUCCAUAAAUCACUAUGCUUGUCCCACUUUGACUCCUGAUUAUUGUCAAUGUCAGGUCACAUAGAGUUCACAUCCUCAGUUGACACACAAAUUAAGUGCCCACAUAAUAUUAUAUCUGUGGCUUUGUGCAAAAAAUACCUAUGUCAAAAUAGUUUAUCUCACAAAUCAGUUUCAAAGUUCAACUUGUAUUUUAACCUCAUUAUAAUCAUAGAACGGCUCCCUUUAUUCAAUCUAUUAUUUGACAUUAUGAUAAUGCACAUAAAAUAGAUACUUAUCAGUAAUCAAAAAUUCAAAAUUAUUUGCCGUUUUCAAAUAAAUUUGUCUUACCCAAGCAGCAAAAUAAUCAAAGUUCGUGUUUUCUGCUCGAAAUGUCUUGACAUUGACGAACAUAAUCACUAACUUGAAAAUAACUAUUGGUCGGAUGAGAAUGAUACAUACACCAAUAGAAAGAAGACAUUCUUCUCGUCUCCUAGUUUUGAUGCACUUGGCAUCAUCAUCAGUGGUGGAAUUGACUACCAGUGUGGAAUUGACAUCUUUUCAUUUCACAUUAAUAUGGAGUAAUCCCACAAUAUCUCUAUUUCCAGUGUUAAUUUUAUAAGUUUCUUAAAUUACAUCCAUGUAAGCAAGAAAAUUAAUUAUAUUAAAACUUAUUCACUUACUGAAUAAAAACUUCUGAAAAUUUGUUUCAUUGAAGGCCAUUUUCUCAACUGCCAUUUUUUGGCAACUCCAUGAAAACAUGGAUUUUAAAUUCGCAGUCAUGGAAUUUCUCAGCAUCCAUGUUGGUGCCCUGGAACUACUGCUACUGCCAGCCCCGAGAGCCGUUAAAGCACCUGGAAACAAAGCAUUUUCUGAUUAUAAACAGAUUCAGCUUUUACUUCAAGAACUGUAUUCAUGGUUAUUCAUGCUUGUCUUACGCAUUUUUGUUAUCAAGGGUAGUGUUCAGUGAACAUAAAGAAGCUACUGAGUGGCUCUGUGUAACAGUAAACCUGAACAGUCAUCAGCUCAUUCAUCCAGCUCGAAAUCCAGAACUGUCAAUCGUACAUUGGAACACCUUUAAAGUUUAAGUAUCGUUAAAAGAUUUCUUAGUGAGCACCUAGGACUAUAACUAUAAAAUUCAAGAUAUAUUUAACUAUACUAUAUUUAAACUUUAGACUAUUCAAAUUAAUUAACUAUCUAAAUACGUAAUUUAUCACGAUUUCUGAAAAUUAAUGGAUGGAUUGCAACAAAACUUUGAAUAUAGCUUUCUAUCGUGAUGAAUUACGUAUUUGAAUAGUCUAAAGUUUAAAUAUAGUAUAAAUAGUUGAAUAUAUCUUGAAUUUUAUAGUACACUUACAGAUAACUCAACUUCUAUUCUAAAUAGCUCAAUAAUGAGUGACAGUGAGAAUGAAAUUCUUCUAACCCCAGAAGAAAGUUUGAACUUUGUGAUGAGAGUUUCAUAAAGAAAGUUUUUUGGUGGUCGUGGGUAAAAUAGUGCAUAUGUGGCGAAUCAUAUGAUUGCCACCGCCACCUGUGAUGUUUUCAACUGGCAAAGUUUGUUUAUCACUUGUAACAUUUUUAUUUUCAUAUUCAUCAAAAAUUAAAUUUUGUCAUUCAAACAUUAUAAUUAAUUCAUCAUUCUUUUAGUUCCAUUCAAUCAAUUUCAAAAUAGGAAUCAUCAAAUUAAAUUCCUAUACAUACAACAACGGUUGUAAUAGGCCUUUCAAGCAUUCGUGAGAUAUUUAGAUAUUUAUAACUCACAUCUCACUCAUGCUUUAAAGGCUCCCAAUAUACAACCGUUGCAUAAACUACUGAACAACGCGGGGUAACUUUGAGGGUUUAGAUAAUAUGGAGGACCGAGGAAAAUACAUAAAAUGCGGAUCGACUUACUUGAUGUGGUUUUAACGAUGACUGGGGGGUCUCAGCAAGCUCUGCUGGGAGAUAGUACCCUUCUCCUCCUCCUCCUCGGAGAUAGAGUCGAUGCUCUAUAAAAGAUAAAAUUUAUUUUAUGUAAAUAUAGAUGACUAUCAAAUUCGUUUCUAUGGCUGAAAACUCACAAUUUUCUCCCGAAAAUCUGAAUCCUUCAGGCGCAUUUCCAAAUCCUCAAACUUUUUCAAAUUUGACACUGGGAACCAAGCGGCUACUAAUUUGUAAUUCGGUUCAUCAGAGAUUUGUGGCAUGGUAUCCACUGCUGAUGCUGGGCACUUUUCAUUUGUUGGGCAUUUAUUUCUGAGAGUUGGCUCUCCAUUAGAUUCAUACUUCCUGCAACAUCGAAAUUGCUCACAUACAAUUAUUUGUUAUUUGUUAACAUAUAAUUAUUAUUAUUAUUAUUAUUAUAAUCAGUAACAAUCUGUCACAUUUUCUGCAUAUCAUUUUUGGGUUCACGAAAACUCAAAUAUUCUCUCUGACAGUACAUCAUUUUAAUGUCAGCGCAUAAUGCGAUCUCAUUUAAUCGAAAUGCGAAUUUUCAUUGCAGAAAAAACAGGUUGGCUUAGAAUCGGCUUGCUUUCUAACUCAGUUCGAGUUAGCUUGGCAAGAGGGUGCGGAAUCGUGAUUGUUUAUCUUUCGCACGCUCGACGAAGGGUUAGGAAUAAUCGAGUCAUUUUUGUGAGUACACUCGUUGCAUGACGAGUGACUGGAAAUGACAAAAGAUUUGUUAGAUUUGACUUUGCAACAUGUGGCAAAUUAGGCUUAAUGAGUUUGCCCCAGUGAUAUAGACACUGCUCAGUGGUCAAAUAACUGCCUAAUUUGUGAAGCAAAGUACUCUUUGCCAUACCUAACACACUUUCUGGCUGCUUGGCACUCACUUAACUUCUUUGGAGAUGUUGCUGAAGAAAUCUGUCACCAGUGGUCGAUUGCUCCAACAUAAUACACAAUUGACUUUUUCAAAGGGAAUUUUACACCAACAAAAUUUCCAUUUUUAACUCCUGCAGUAUGAUAAUCAAUAUUUUUCUCUCUGAUAUCUAUCUCCAUUGAUUCUCUCCAAGUGUCUAAGGAUUCCAGUUCUUCAUUUUCUGAUUCACUUGUCAAUUCUAAAAUUUUUCUAACUGGUGGUUUCUUCCUGUCAGAAAGCUCUUGAAUUCUGUUUUUCUUCGGUGUGUCUGUUAAUAUUCUUGUAGAUCCAUUCUGUCUUUUAGUUUUAUUAGUCUUUCUUGGUGCAGCUUUUGUAAAUGGCUGUACUUCCUGUGGAGUUAGGACCUUUGAUUUUGAUUGGCUCUGAUUGUUUAAUACUGAAGGUGUUAUAGGUUCAGUGGAUGCAUGUACUUGCUGUGGAGUUGAGGAUAUUAGAGAUGGUUCUGGAUUUUUCGAUGUUCAAGGUCUUGGUGUUGUAGGUUCAGUAGAUUCAGUAGGUUCAGUGGAUUCAAUAGGUUCAGUAGAUACAUUCUGGGUAACUUCCAUAGCAUUUUCUGAAAGUUGGCGAUCAGUCACUGAUGACAUGAGAAAAGCAUUCUCAGUGAAUAUUUGAGCAUUGAAUGGUGAAAUUCCUGUUUUCUGGAACCCACGAAUUAUAUUGUAUUUUUAAAUGGCGAAAUAGAUGGUGGCUUCCAAUUUAUUUUUUAAUUGAAAAAUAACAAUAUUGUUAUGAUGGUUUCUAAUAUAUAAGAGAAUGAAUGACCCAUGCUGCGCAAAGCGCCACUCUCUUGCUUUGCUUAUAAUUAUAAUAAUACUGAUGAUUGCCAUAAAGGUAAUGUAAAUAUUUUUAUGCAAUAAAGUAUAAUUCAAUUUAAUUCAUAUUA